GGUCAUAUAGUGUAGCGGUUAGCACAUGGGAUUCUGAUCCGGCUCGGUCAAUCCGUCCCUGUGCUUAAAUUCCCAUAACCCAGGUUCGAUUCCUGGUAUGACCU
rfam:Ceriporiopsis subvermispora B unplaced genomic scaffold CERSTscaffold_6, whole genome shotgun sequence.